UCCUUAUUAAGAGUUGGGGGAGGAACCUGGUCCUUUGAUCCCACAGCAACCUCUAGUGAUAGAACGGUGCUCAUUCCAGCAGGCGAGCGUUUCUGGCCUGGCAAAUAGGGA
rfam:Listeriaceae bacterium FSL A5-0209 contig000022, whole genome shotgun sequence.